UGGGGAAUUUUGGACGAAUUGGGGGCAACCCGUGAUCCAGCCAUCCCGCGUGUGCGAUGAAGGCCUUCGGGUUGUAAAGCACUUUUGGCAGGGAAGAAACAGCCUGGGAUAAUACCCCGGGCGACUGACGGUACCUGCAGAAUAAGCACCGGCUAACUACGUGCCAGCAGCCGCGGUAAUACGUAGGGUGCAAGCGUUAAUCGGAAUUACUGGGCGUAAAGCGUGCGCAGGCGGUUCGGAAAGAAAGGUGUGAAAUCCCAGGGCUUAACCUUGGAACUGCACUUUUAACUACCGAGCUAGAGUACGUCAGAGGGGGGUAGAAUUCCACGUGUAGCAGUGAAAUGCGUAGAGAUGUGGAGGAAUACCGAUGGCGAAGGCAGCCCCUGGGAUGAUACUGACGCUCAUGCACGAAAGCGUGGGGAGCAAACAGGAUUAGAUA
rnacentral:rRNA from 1 species